rnacentral:sRNA from 1 species
CUGGCCUCCAACUUUGCCUCUUGCUAUCCUCUCUGCCGGCGCCCCCUUUCCCGGCGGUCCCCGGGAUGGUCCCCGGCACCCCGAGGACGCCGAGGUUACGGGAAGUUCGGGGACUGGCGGGAGAAGGGGUUGGGGGGGUGGUCCGCGGCGAGGGGCGCGGGGCGCAUCUUCUCUUCCUUUUAUGGGCUGCUACACUUGUGUGUCCCUUCUUCCUUGAAUUUAACCAGGAGUGAGCAGUGGACAGCUUCUUCCCUGUGAGAAGGAGGUGAAGCAGGACCUGAAAUCCCGUGCUCAGCUCCCACAGCCCCCGUGUCCAGGACAAGUCCUUUGCUGAAUCAGCAGCAGACACCACCCAGAGCCCUUCGGGAGCCUUUCCCUGUUCUUCCAGCAUGGAUCUGAAACUCCGUUCCCACUUCCUGCAGCCUCCCAGAGAUAGUUCAGGUUCCAGCCUCAUAUGAUAGCAUGAAGAGAAACUGUGGUUCCAAUAGCUGUGUGCUCUGCUCCCCUCAUCCCAAACAACAAUUUAAAUGCACAAUUACACUUUUCUCUAAGGCCCAAAAUAGGAUAGGAAAGAUCGUUUUGCUAUCCCUGAAUGCCUGUCACCCUUGUUUCAUAAGGUAAGAUUGGGGAAGGACUUGGCCACUGCCCUUGCAGCUGAGAAACCAACUUUAGGAAUAAAGACACUCUCUCCCCUUCUGAUAAAUGUCCACUCUCUCCGUGUCUG